GACGUAGGGCGCGAGCGUUGUCCGGAUUUAUUGGGCGUAAAGAGCUCGUAGGCGGCUUGUCGCGUCGUCCGUGAAAACCCGGGGCUCAACCCCGUGGGUGCUGUCCGGACUGCCGAUCUGGAGGCCGGCAGAGGGUGAUGGAAUUCCCGGUGUAGCGGUGAAAUGCGUAGAGAUCGGGAAGAACAUCGGUGGCGAAAGCGCUCUACUGGACCGCAACUGACACUCAGGGACGAAAGCUAGGGGAGCGAAUGGG
rnacentral:rRNA from 1 species